GAUGAACGCUGGCGGCGUGCCUAAUACAUGCAAGUCGAGCGAACAGACGAGGAGCUUGCUCCUCUGACGUUAGCGGCGGACGGGUGAGUAACACGUGGAUAACCUACCUAUAAGACUGGGAUAACUUCGGGAAACCGGAGCUAAUACCGGAUAAUAUAUUGAACCGCAUGGUUCAAUAGUGAAAGACGGUUUUGCUGUCACUUAUAGAUGGAUCCGCGCCGCAUUAGCUAGUUGGUAAGGUAACGGCUUACUAAGGCAACGAUGCGUAGCCGACCUGAGAGGGAGAUCGGCCACACUGGAACUGAGACACGGUCCAGACUCCUACGGGAGGCAGCAGUAGGGAAUCUUCCGCAAUGGGCGAAAGCCUGACGGAGCAACGCCGCGUGAGUGAUGAAGGUCUUCGGAUCGUAAAACUCUGUUAUUAGGGAAGAACAAAUGUGUAAGUAACUAUGCACGUCUUGACGGUACCUAAUCAGAAAGCCACGGCUAACUACGUG
rnacentral:rRNA from 1 species